AAUACUCCAGCGAGGCCCUGGAGGGCUGAUGUGGAGAAGGGUUCCGUGUGAACAGCCGUUGCACACGGGUCAGUCGAUCCUAAGCCCUAGGGGAAACCCGAGGUUGAUGGACGCGGUGUUUUCGAACGAUUAAUCUUCUUCUUCUCCUUCUCGGACUUCUUUAUUUUUUCGCGCGAGCGAGACGGGGAGACCCGUUUCCGAAACGCCAAAAAGGAGGAAAAAAGAGAGGGGUGGGGGAAAUUAAAAACAAACACAUCACCGCCCGUCGGGCGACAGGGAAUCCGUUUCCUAUUACGGAACCCGGUUGCGGAACCGCACUCACGAUCCUCGUAUUGACACGGUAACGUGAAUGACCCUAGAGAUGCCGCCUGGAGUCCCCGGAAGAGUUUUCUUUUCUGCAUAAGCGUUCGGGUUCCAUGGAAUCCUCUCGCAGGGAGAUAUGGAAUGGAACGCGAAGAGCACCGCAGUUGCUGCGGUGUCGGGGAAUUCCCGUCGGCCCUUGAAAAUCUAGGUGAGGGUAACGUGGAGUGGUCGCGCCGGUUCGUACCCAUAUCCGCAGCAGUCUCCAAGUCAAGAGCCUCUAGUCGAUAGACUAAUGUAGG
rnacentral:rRNA from 1 species